rnacentral:rRNA from 1 species
GGCGUGCUUAACACAUGCAAGUCGAACGGAAAGGCCCCGCUUGCGGGGUACUCGAGUGGCGAACGGGUGAGUAACACGUGGGUGAUCUACCCUGCACUUCGGGAUAAGCCUGGGAAACUGGGUCUAAUACCGGAUAGGACCCCUCUUUAGUGUGGGGGGUGGAAAGUUUUUUCGGUGUGGGAUGAGCCCGCGGCCUAUCAGCUUGUUGGUGGGGUAAUGGCCUACCAAGGCGUCGACGGGUAGCCGGCCUGAGAGGGUGGACGGCCACAUUGGGACUGAGAUACGGCCCAGACUCCUACGGGAGGCAGCAGUGGGGAAUAUUGCACAAUGGGCGGAAGCCUGAUGCAGCGACGCCGCGUGGGGGAUGACGGCCUUCGGGUUGUAAACCUCUUUCGCUAGGGACGAAGCUUUUGUGACGGUACCUAGAUAAGAGGCACCGGCUAACUACGUGCCAGCAGCCGCGGUAAUACGUAGGGUGCGAGCGUUGUCCGGAAUUACUGGGCGUAAAGAGCUCGUAGGUGGUUUGUCGCGUCGUCUGUGAAAUUCCGGGGCUUAACUUCGGGCGUGCAGGCGAUACGGGCAAUACUUGAGUGCUGUAGGGGAGACUGGAAUUCCUGGUGUAGCGGUGGAAUGCGCAGAUAUCAGGAGGAACACCGAUGGCGAAGGCAGGUCUCUGGGCAGUAACUGACGCUGAGGAGCGAAAGCAUGGGUAGCGAACAGGAUUAGAUACCCUGGUAGUCCAUGCCGUAAACGGUGGGCGCUAGGUGUAGGGGUCUUCCACGACUUCUGUGCCGUAGCUAACGCAUUAAGCGCCCCGCCUGGGGAGUACGGCCGCAAGGCUAAAACUCAAAUGAAUUGACGG